rnacentral:lncRNA from 1 species
UUGUUCUCCGUCUAUAAAUACGCCUCGCCCGAGCUGUGCGGUAGGCAUUGAGGCAGCCAGCGCAGGGGCUUCUGCUGAGGGGGCAGGCGGAGCUUGAGGAAACCGCAGAUAAGUUUUUUUCUCUUUGAAAGAUAGAGAUUAAUACAACUACUUAAAAAAUAUAGUCAAUAGGUUACUAAGAUAUUGCUUAGCGUUAAGUUUUUAACGUAAUUUUAAUAGCUUAAGAUUUUAAGAGAAAAUAUGAAGACUUAGAAGAGUAGCAUGAGGAAGGAAAAGAUAAAAGGUUUCUAAAACAUGACGGAGGUUGAGAUGAAGCUUCUUCAUGGAGUAAAAAAUGUAUUUAAAAGAAAAUUGAGAGAAAGGACUACAGAGCCCCGAAUUAAUACCAAUAGAAGGGCAAUGCUUUUAGAUUAAAAUGAAGGUGACUUAAACAGCUUAAAGUUUAGUUUAAAAGUUGUAGGUGAUUAAAAUAAUUUGAAGGCGAUCUUUUAAAAAGAGAUUAAACCGAAGGUGAUUAAAAGACCUUGAAAUCCAUGACGCAGGGAGAAUUGCGUCAUUUAAAGCCUAGUUAACGCAUUUACUAAACGCAGACGAAAAUGGAAAGAUUAAUUGGGAGUGGUAGGAUGAAACAAUUUGGAGAAGAUAGAAGUUUGAAGUGGAAAACUGGAAGACAGAAGUACGGGAAGGCGAAGAAAAGAAUAGAGAAGAUAGGGAAAUUAGAAGAUAAAAACAUACUUUUAGAAGAAAAAAGAUAAAUUUAAACCUGAAAAGUAGGAAGCAGAAGAAAAAAGACAAGCUAGGAAACAAAAAGCUAAGGGCAAAAUGUACAAACUUAGAAGAAAAUUGGAAGAUAGAAACAAGAUAGAAAAUGAAAAUAUUGUCAAGAGUUUCAGAUAGAAAAUGAAAAACAAGCUAAGACAAGUAUUGGAGAAGUAUAGAAGAUAGAAAAAUAUAAAGCCAAAAAUUGGAUAAAAUAGCACUGAAAAAAUGAGGAAAUUAUUGGUAACCAAUUUAUUUUAAAAGCCCAUCAAUUUAAUUUCUGGUGGUGCAGAAGUUAGAAGGUAAAGCUUGAGAAGAUGAGGGUGUUUACGUAGACCAGAACCAAUUUAGAAGAAUACUUGAAGCUAGAAGGGGAAGUUGGUUAAAAAUCACAUCAAAAAGCUACUAAAAGGACUGGUGUAAUUUAAAAAAAACUAAGGCAGAAGGCUUUUGGAAGAGUUAGAAGAAUUUGGAAGGCCUUAAAUAUAGUAGCUUAGUUUGAAAAAUGUGAAGGACUUUCGUAACGGAAGUAAUUCAAGAUCAAGAGUAAUUACCAACUUAAUGUUUUUGCAUUGGACUUUGAGUUAAGAUUAUUUUUUAAAUCCUGAGGACUAGCAUUAAUUGACAGCUGACCCAGGUGCUACACAGAAGUGGAUUCAGUGAAUCUAGGAAGACAGCAGCAGACAGGAUUCCAGGAACCAGUGUUUGAUGAAGCUAGGACUGAGGAGCAAGCGAGCAAGCAGCAGUUCGUGGUGAAGAUAGGAAAAGAGUCCAGGAGCCAGUGCGAUUUGGUGAAGGAAGCUAGGAAGAAGGAAGGAGCGCUAACGAUUUGGUGGUGAAGCUAGGAAAAAGGAUUCCAGGAAGGAGCGAGUGCAAUUUGGUGAUGAAGGUAGCAGGCGGCUUGGCUUGGCAACCACACGGAGGAGGCGAGCAGGCGUUGUGCGUAGAGGAUCCUAGACCAGCAUGCCAGUGUGCCAAGGCCACAGGGAAAGCGAGUGGUUGGUAAAAAUCCGUGAGGUCGGCAAUAUGUUGUUUUUCUGGAACUUACUUAUGGUAACCUUUUAUUUAUUUUCUAAUAUAAUGGGGGAGUUUCGUACUGAGGUGUAAAGGGAUUUAUAUGGGGACGUAGGCCGAUUUCCGGGUGUUGUAGGUUUCUCUUUUUCAGGCUUAUACUCAUGAAUCUUGUCUGAAGCUUUUGAGGGCAGACUGCCAAGUCCUGGAGAAAUAGUAGAUGGCAAGUUUGUGGGUUUUUUUUUUUUACACGAAUUUGAGGAAAACCAAAUGAAUUUGAUAGCCAAAUUGAGACAAUUUCAGCAAAUCUGUAAGCAGUUUGUAUGUUUAGUUGGGGUAAUGAAGUAUUUCAGUUUUGUGAAUAGAUGACCUGUUUUUACUUCCUCACCCUGAAUUCGUUUUGUAAAUGUAGAGUUUGGAUGUGUAACUGAGGCGGGGGGGAGUUUUCAGUAUUUUUUUUUGUGGGGGUGGGGGCAAAAUAUGUUUUCAGUUCUUUUUCCCUUAGGUCUGUCUAGAAUCCUAAAGGCAAAUGACUCAAGGUGUAACAGAAAACAAGAAAAUCCAAUAUCAGGAUAAUCAGACCACCACAGGUUUACAGUUUAUAGAAACUAGAGCAGUUCUCACGUUGAGGUCUGUGGAAGAGAUGUCCAUUGGAGAAAUGGCUGGUAGUUACUCUUUUUUCCCCCCACCCCCUUAAUCAGACUUUAAAAGUGCUUAACCCCUUAAACUUGUUAUUUUUUACUUGAAGCAUUUUGGGAUGGUCUUAACAGGGAAGAGAGAGGGUGGGGGAGAAAAUGUUUUUUUCUAAGAUUUUCCACAGAUGCUAUAGUACUAUUGACAAACUGGGUUAGAGAAGGAGUGUACCGCUGUGCUGUUGGCACGAACACCUUCAGGGACUGGAGCUGCUUUUAUCCUUGGAAGAGUAUUCCCAGUUGAAGCUGAAAAGUACAGCACAGUGCAGCUUUGGUUCAUAUUCAGUCAUCUCAGGAGAACUUCAGAAGAGCUUGAGUAGGCCAAAUGUUGAAGUUAAGUUUUCCAAUAAUGUGACUUCUUAAAAGUUUUAUUAAAGGGGAGGGGCAAAUAUUGGCAAUUAGUUGGCAGUGGCCUGUUACGGUUGGGAUUGGUGGGGUGGGUUUAGGUAAUUGUUUAGUUUAUGAUUGCAGAUAAACUCAUGCCAGAGAACUUAAAGUCUUAGAAUGGAAAAAGUAAAGAAAUAUCAACUUCCAAGUUGGCAAGUAACUCCCAAUGAUUUAGUUUUUUUCCCCCCAGUUUGAAUUGGGAAGCUGGGGGAAGUUAAAUAUGAGCCACUGGGUGUACCAGUGCAUUAAUUUGGGCAAGGAAAGUGUCAUAAUUUGAUACUGUAUCUGUUUUCCUUCAAAGUAUAGAGCUUUUGGGGAAGGAAAGUAUUGAACUGGGGGUUGGUCUGGCCUACUGGGCUGACAUUAACUACAAUUAUGGGAAAUGCAAAAGUUGUUUGGAUAUGGUAGUGUGUGGUUCUCUUUUGGAAUUUUUUUCAGGUGAUUUAAUAAUAAUUUAAAACUACUAUAGAAACUGCAGAGCAAAGGAAGUGGCUUAAUGAUCCUGAAGGGAUUUCUUCUGAUGGUAGCUUUUGUAUUAUCAAACUUUUUUCAGAUAACAUCUUCUGAGUCAUAACCAGCCUGGCAGUAUGAUGGCCUAGAUGCAGAGAAAACAGCUCCUUGACAGGUAUCUCUUCGUUAUCAGAAGAGUUGCUUCAUUUCAUCUGGGAGCAGAAAACAGCAGGCAGCUGUUAACAGAUAAGUUUAACUUGCAUCUGCAGUAUUGCAUGUUAGGGAUAAGUGCUUAUUUUUAAGAGCUGUGGAGUUCUUAAAUAUCAACCAUGGCACUUUCUCCUGACCCCUUCCCUAGGGGAUUUCAGGAUUGAGAAAUUUUUCCAUCGAGCCUUUUUAAAAUUGUAGGACUUGUUCCUGUGGGCUUCAGUGAUGGGAUAGUACACUUCACUCAGAGGCAUUUGCAUCUUUAAAUAAUUUCUUAAAAGCCUCUAAAGUGAUCAGUGCCUUGAUGCCAACUAAGGAAAUUUGUUUAGCAUUGAAUCUCUGAAGGCUCUAUGAAAGGAAUAGCAUGAUGUGCUGUUAGAAUCAGAUGUUACUGCUAAAAUUUACAUGUUGUGAUGUAAAUUGUGUAGAAAACCAUUAAAUCAUUCAAAAUAAUAAACUAUUUUUAUUAGAGAAUGUAUACUUUUAGAAAGCUGUCUCCUUAUUUAAAUAAAAUAGUGUUUGUCUGUAGUUCAGUGUUGGGGCAAUCUUGGGGGGGAUUCUUCUCUAAUCUUUCAGAAACUUUGUCUGCGAACACUCUUUAAUGGACCAGAUCAGGAUUUGAGCGGAAGAACGAAUGUAACUUUAAGGCAGGAAAGACAAAUUUUAUUCUUCAUAAAGUGAUGAGCAUAUAAUAAUUCCAGGCACAUGGCAAUAGAGGCCCUCUAAAUAAGGAAUAAAUAACCUCUUAGACAGGUGGGAGAUUAUGAUCAGAGUAAAAGGUAAUUACACAUUUUAUUUCCAGAAAGUCAGGGGUCUAUAAAUUGACAGUGAUUAGAGUAAUACUUUUUCACAUUUCCAAAGUUUGCAUGUUAACUUUAAAUGCUUACAAUCUUAGAGUGGUAGGCAAUGUUUUACACUAUUGACCUUAUAUAGGGAAGGGAGGGGGUGCCUGUGGGGUUUUAAAGAAUUUUCCUUUGCAGAGGCAUUUCAUCCUUCAUGAAGCCAUUCAGGAUUUUGAAUUGCAUAUGAGUGCUUGGCUCUUCCUUCUGUUCUAACUUCACAGAGAAUGCAGUUGUCUUGACUUCAGGUCUGUCUGUUCUGUUGGCAAGUAAAUGCAGUACUGUUCUGAUCCCGCUGCUAUUAGAAUGCAUUGUGAAACGACUGGAGUAUGAUUAAAAGUUGUGUUCCCCAAUGCUUGGAGUAGUGAUUGUUGAAGGAAAAAAUCCAGCUGAGUGAUAAAGGCUGAGUGUUGAGGAAAUUUCUGCAGUUUUAAGCAGUCGUAUUUGUGAUUGAAGCUGAGUACAUUUUGCUGGUGUAUUUUUAGGUAAAAUGCUUUUUGUUCAUUUCUGGUGGUGGGAGGGGACUGAAGCCUUUAGUCUUUUCCAGAUGCAACCUUAAAAUCAGUGACAAGAAACAUUCCAAACAAGCAACAGUCUUCAAGAAAUUAAACUGGCAAGUGGAAAUGUUUAAACAGUUCAGUGAUCUUUAGUGCAUUGUUUAUGUGUGGGUUUCUCUCUCCCCUCCCUUGGUCUUAAUUCUUACAUGCAGGAACACUCAGCAGACACACGUAUGCGAAGGGCCAGAGAAGCCAGACCCAGUAAGAAAAAAUAGCCUAUUUACUUUAAAUAAACCAAACAUUCCAUUUUAAAUGUGGGGAUUGGGAACCACUAGUUCUUUCAGAUGGUAUUCUUCAGACUAUAGAAGGAGCUUCCAGUUGAAUUCACCAGUGGACAAAAUGAGGAAAACAGGUGAACAAGCUUUUUCUGUAUUUACAUACAAAGUCAGAUCAGUUAUGGGACAAUAGUAUUGAAUAGAUUUCAGCUUUAUGCUGGAGUAACUGGCAUGUGAGCAAACUGUGUUGGCGUGGGGGUGGAGGGGUGAGGUGGGCGCUAAGCCUUUUUUUAAGAUUUUUCAGGUACCCCUCACUAAAGGCACCGAAGGCUUAAAGUAGGACAACCAUGGAGCCUUCCUGUGGCAGGAGAGACAACAAAGCGCUAUUAUCCUAAGGUCAAGAGAAGUGUCAGCCUCACCUGAUUUUUAUUAGUAAUGAGGACUUGCCUCAACUCCCUCUUUCUGGAGUGAAGCAUCCGAAGGAAUGCUUGAAGUACCCCUGGGCUUCUCUUAACAUUUAAGCAAGCUGUUUUUAUAGCAGCUCUUAAUAAUAAAGCCCAAAUCUCAAGCGGUGCUUGAAGGGGAGGGAAAGGGGGAAAGCGGGCAACCACUUUUCCCUAGCUUUUCCAGAAGCCUGUUAAAAGCAAGGUCUCCCCACAAGCAACUUCUCUGCCACAUCGCCACCCCGUGCCUUUUGAUCUAGCACAGACCCUUCACCCCUCACCUCGAUGCAGCCAGUAGCUUGGAUCCUUGUGGGCAUGAUCCAUAAUCGGUUUCAAGGUAACGAUGGUGUCGAGGUCUUUGGUGGGUUGAACUAUGUUAGAAAAGGCCAUUAAUUUGCCUGCAAAUUGUUAACAGAAGGGUAUUAAAACCACAGCUAAGUAGCUCUAUUAUAAUACUUAUCCAGUGACUAAAACCAACUUAAACCAGUAAGUGGAGAAAUAACAUGUUCAAGAACUGUAAUGCUGGGUGGGAACAUGUAACUUGUAGACUGGAGAAGAUAGGCAUUUGAGUGGCUGAGAGGGCUUUUGGGUGGGAAUGCAAAAAUUCUCUGCUAAGACUUUUUCAGGUGAACAUAACAGACUUGGCCAAGCUAGCAUCUUAGCGGAAGCUGAUCUCCAAUGCUCUUCAGUAGGGUCAUGAAGGUUUUUCUUUUCCUGAGAAAAC